AGUGAACGCUGGCGGUAGGCCUAACACAUGCAAGUCGAACGGCAGCACAGUAAGAGCUUGCUCUUACGGGUGGCGAGUGGCGGACGGGUGAGGAAUACAUCGGAAUCUACUUUUUCGGGGGGGAUAACGUAGGGAAACUUACGCUAAUACCGCAUACGACCUACGGGUGAAAGCAGGGGAUCUUCGGACCUUGCGCGAUUGAAUGAGCCGAUGUCGGAUUAGCUAGUUGGCGUGGUAAAGGCCCACCAAGGCGACGAUCCGUAGCUGGUCUGAGAGGAUGAUCAGCCACACUGGAACUGAGACACGGUCCAGACUCCUACGGGAGGCAGCAGUGGGGAAUAUUGGACAAUGGGCGAAAGCCUGAUCCAGCCAUACCGCGUGGGUGAAGAAGGCCUUCGGGUUGUAAAGCCCUUUUGUUGGGAAAGAAAAGCAGCAGGUUAAUACCCCGCUGUUCUGACGGUACCCAAAGAAUAAGCACCGGCUAACUUCGUG
rnacentral:rRNA from 1 species